rnacentral:rRNA from 1 species
GGGAUUAGUGGCCAAGGGGGGAGUAACACGUGAGUAACCUGCCCUUGACUCUGGGAUAAGCCUGGGAAACCGGGUCUAAUACUGGAUACGACCUUCUGGCGCAUGCCAUGUUGGUGGAAAGCUUUUGUGGUUUUGGAUGGACUCGCGGCCUAUCAGCUUGUUGGUGGGGUAAUGGCCUACCAAGGCGACGACGGGUAGCCGGCCUGAGAGGGUGACCGGCCACACUGGGACUGAGACACGGCCCAAACUCCUACGGGAGGCAGCAGUGGGGAAUAUUGCACAAUGGGCGCAAGCCUGAUGCAGCGACGCCGCGUGAGGGAUGAAGGCCUUCGGGUUGUAAACCUCUUUCAGUAGGGAAAAAGUUGGCCUUUCGGGGUUGGUGACCAGUAGGGGAGACUGGAUCCCUGGUGUAGCGGUGGAAUGCGCAGAUAUCAGGAGGAACACCGAUGCGAAGGCAGGUCUCUGGGCUGUAACUGACGCUGAGGAGCGAAAGCAUGGGGAGCGAACAGGAUUAGAUACCCUGGUAGUCCAUGCCGUAAACGUUGGGCACUAGGUGUGGGGGACAUUCCACGUUUUCCGCGCCGUAGCUAACGCAUUAAGUGCCCCGCCUGGGGAGUACGGCCGCAAGGCUAAAACUCAAAGGAAUUGACGGGGGCCCGCACAAGCGGCGGAGCAUGCGGAUUAAUUCGAUGCAACGCGAAGAACCUUACCAAGGCUUGACAUGAACCGGAAUGAUGCAGAGAUGUGUCAGCCACUUGUGGCCGGUUUACAGGUGGUGCAUGGUUGUCGUCAGCUCGUGUCGUGAGAUGUUGGGUUAAGUCCCGCAACGAGCGCAACCCUCGUUCCAUGUUGCCAGCGGGUUAUGCCGGGGACUCAUGGGAGACUGCCGGGGUCAACUCGGAGGAAGGUGGGGACGACGUCAAAUCAUCAUGCCCCUUAUGUCUUGGGCUUCACGCAUGCUACAAUGGCCGGUACAAAGGGUUGCGAUACUGUGAGGUGGAGCUAAUCCCAAAAAGCCGGUCUCAGUUCGGAUUGAGGUCUGCAACUCGACCUCAUGAAGUUGGAGUCGCUAGUAAUCGCAGAUCAGCAACGCUGCGGUGAAUACGUUCCCGG